UACGUAGGGCGCAAGCGUUGUCCGGAAUUAUUGGGCGUAAAGAGCCCGUAGGCGGCUUGUCACGUCGGGUGUGAAAGCCCGGGGCUUAACCCCGGGUCUGCAUUCGAUACGGGCUAGCUAGAGUGUGGUAGGGGAGAUCGGAAUUCCUGGUGUAGCGGUGAAAUGCGCAGAUAUCAGGAGGAACACCGGUGGCGAAGGCGGAUCUCUGGGCCAUUACUGACGCUGAGGAGCGAAAGCGUGGGGAGCGAACAGG
rnacentral:rRNA from 1 species